UGUAGUUUGGUCCGGAUUCUGACCUUGGUCUGGAAUUUGAGAAGUUCUGGUUUCUAAGGUCCAGUCUGUAGGAGCAUUAAACUUUCAUGAGAACUAUUACGUAUGUGUCAGCUUAGACCCCAAGUAUAUAUUUUCUCAUGAAGAGAUGGCGAGGUGAGAAGAAAACAGGAACAGUUUUAAUGUGAGUAUACUAGUCAUCCACCAAGCAGAAGUCUACAACAUAUGUUUAUCUCUUGAUGACUAAGCUAUCAGCGAACUAACACAAGCAAGGGUGGGUGAGACUCUAUUUUGGAUGUUGCAGGUCACAUAGAUUUGCGGGGAUGUUAAGAGUAUACUGCCUCUGUUGCUGUUGUUAUUGUCGUAAUUGUAUGUUUUAUUAGUUAUUAGAUCAAACCAGAUCACCACUGUAGCAGCAUGUUAGCCACAACAAGUCUGUAAGCCAGUGGUGGAAGAUGUGUGACUCUCAGUGACUCUCAGUGAGGUUUUUCUGCUUCCUGGCCAAAAAUCAGCACUGCCAUUAUUACAAAUACGGGCAUGGUGCCACUCUGAGGGUUUGACUUUGGUCAACCUUGCCUCUAUAAAAGAAGCCAUUCCUUCUGACUGAACUCACUACAGCAGCACCUUCACUCCUAACACUGAGAAGAGAAGAAAACUGAAAAAGUGGACUGCUCUCUACAACAAAGAAGAUCCUGUUGUCAGCAGCAGCGAAGAUGGCUUGCCUGUGCUGGAUGGCUGUAACGCUGGGUUUGUUGCUGUCUGCUGAAAACAGUUUGGCUGCUGAUGUGGACCAGAACCAACUUGUAGGAAUUGUAAAUGAGAUCCUGAACAGGUGAGUUGACUUCCUCUAGAAUACAGAGAGGAAAACGUAUCCUUGUGAUGAUGUUCAAAUUUAAUUCUCAUUUUCAUAAUAGAGGAAAGGUUGCAUUUUAUUAUGAGGUGGACCAUCUUCAACUUCCUUUUCACAAAAUGUAAC